rnacentral:rRNA from 1 species
CAGCAGUAGCCACGGUAAUACGUAGGUGGCAAGCGUUGUCCGGAAUUAUUGGGCGUAAAGGGCUCGUAGGCGGUUUCUUAAGUCUGAUGUGAAAGCCCCCGGCUCAACCGGGGAGGGUCAUUGGAAACUGGGAAACUUGAGUGCAGAAGAGGGGAGUGGAAUUCCACGUGUAGCGGUGAAAUGCGUAGAGAUGUGGAGGAACACCAGUGGCGAAGGCGACUCUCUGGUCUGUAACUGACGCUGAGGAGCGAAAGCGUGGGGAGCGAACAGGAUUAGAUACCCCGGUAGUCCCUGUCUCUUAUAC